UACGGAGGGGGCUAGCGUUGUUCGGAAUUACUGGGCGUAAAGCGCACGUAGGCGGACCGGAAAGUUGGAGGUGAAAUCCCAGGGCUCAACCUUGGAACUGCCUUCAAAACUAUCGGUCUGGAGUUCGAGAGAGGUGAGUGGAAAUUCCGAGUGUAGAGGGUGAAAUUCGUAGAUAUUCGGAGGAACACCAGUGGCGAAGGCGGCUCACCUGGCUCGAUACUGACGCUGAGGUGCGAAAGCGUGGGGAGC
rnacentral:rRNA from 1 species